rnacentral:rRNA from 1 species
UACGUAGGGGGCAAGCGUUGUCCGGAAUUAUUGGGCGUAAAGCGCGCGCAGGCGGCGAUUUAAGUCUGGUGUUUAAACCUUGGGCUCAACCUGGGGUCGCACUGGAAACUGGAUCGCUUGAGUACAGAAGAGGAAAGUGGAAUUCCACGUGUAGCGGUGAAAUGCGUAGAUAUGUGGAGGAACACCAGUGGCGAAGGCGACUUUCUGGGCUGUAACUGACGCUGAGGCGCGAAAGCGUGGGGAGCAAACAGG